rnacentral:rRNA from 1 species
GAUGAACGCUGGCGGCGUGCCUAACACAUGCAAGUCGAGCGAACAGACGAGGAGCUUGCUCCUCUGACGUUAGCGGCGGACGGGUGAGUAACACGUGGAUAACCUACCUAUAAGACUGGGAUAACUUCGGGAAACCGGAGCUAAUACCGGAUAAUAUAUUGAACCGCAUGGUGCAAUAGUGAAAGACGGCUUUGCUGUCACUAAUAGAUGAAUCCGCGCCGCAUUAGCUAGUUGGUAAGGUAACGGCUUACCAAGGCAACGAUGCGUAGCCGACCUGAGAGGGUGAUUGGCCACCCUGGAACUGAGACACGGUCCAGACUCCUACGCGAGGCAGCAGCAGGGAAUCUUCCGCAAUGGGCGAAAGCCUGACGGAGCAACGCCGCGUGAGUGAUGAAGGUCUUCGGCUCGUAAAGCUCUGUUAUUAGGGAAGAACAAAUGUGUAAGUAACUAUGCACGUCUUGACGGUACCUAAACAGAAAGCCCCGGCUAACUACGUG